UACGAAGGGGGCUAGCGUUGCUCGGAAUUACUGGGCGUAAAGGGCGCGUAGGCGGAUAUUUAAGUUGGGGGUGAAAUCCCGGGGCUCAACCUCGGAAUUGCCUUCAAAACUGGAUAUCUUGAGUUCGGGAGAGGUGAGUGGAACUCCGAGUGUAGAGGUGAAAUUCGUAGAUAUCAGGAAGAACACCAGUGGCGAAAGCGGCAACCUGGCUCGAUACUGACGCUCAUGCACGAAAGCGUGGGGAGCAAACAGG
rnacentral:rRNA from 1 species